rnacentral:rRNA from 1 species
AUAUUGGACAAUGGGGGCAACCCUGAUCCAGUCAUGCCGCGAUAGUGAAGAAGGUCUUCGGAUUGUACAGCACUUUAAGGUGGGAGGCAGGGCUUUAGUCUAAUACCCUGAAGUUUUGAGGUUACCAACAGAAUAAGCACCGGCUAACUCUGUACCAGCAGCCGCGGUAAUACAGAGGGUGCAAGCGUUAAUCGGAAUUACUGGGCGUAAAGCGCGCGUAGGUGGUUCAGUAAGAUGGGUGUGAAAUCCCCGGGCUUAACCUGGGAACUGCUUUCAUAACUGCUGAGCUAGAGUACGGUAGAGGGUAGUGGAAUUUCCUGUGUAGCGGUGAAAUGCGUAGAUAUAGGAAGGAACACCAGUGGCGAAGGCGACUACCUGGACUGAUACUGACACUGAGGUGCGAAAGCGUGGGGAGCAAAC